AGUUGCGGUAAAACUGCUCACUGUUGUAUUUGUUUAAUAACUUUUAACUUGAAAAGAAAACCCAGUCAAAUUAAAAAAAACCAACGUUAUAUGAUAAAUGCACAUACAUAUAUAAGUAUUGGCAAAUGGAUACAUAUUUAUUGGUUCGCCGAUAUCAUUAAGAGUUCUGGCAGGGCAGUUCGCCGAUAAUAUGUAAUUUUAAAUGAAACCUCCUAACACAAAAAUUAUACUUGUACAUACAUACAUAUGUAUGCAUAUAA